UACAGAGGUGGCAAGCGUUGUUCGGAAUUACUGGGCGUAAAGGGCGCGUAGGCGGUCCGAUAAGUCCCGUGUGAAAGCCCCCGGCUCAACUGGGGAACUGCACGGGAAACUGACGGACUUGAGUUCGGGAGAGGGAAGCGGAAUUCCGGGUGUAGCGGUGAAAUGCGUAGAUAUCCGGAGGAACACCGGUGGCGAAGGCGGCUUCCUGGACCGGUAUUGACGCUGAGGCGCGAAAGCCAGGGGAGCAAACGGG
rnacentral:rRNA from 1 species